rnacentral:sRNA from 1 species
ACACGUGAAGGGAGGUGGUCCGAAGUUGUAUAGCAACGGGACUCGUGAGGUGGCUGUCCGCUAGCCGCUGUCCUCGACAGCUUCGUAGAAAUUUCUUGUAGGACGUCGAGACCGUGUGGCAGCGGUACGGCGAAUACCAGACAGCCACCCGACCCCCGGGGAUCCGGCCUUGUCCGACCGGACCACGCUCCAUCAGGCGCGUGGAAGUCCCCGGGGGUCGCUUCAU